AUUCCAUGUGGUGGGCACUUUCUCAGCAUUUCCUUAUACCUUUCCCAAACAUCGUAUAAGGAUUCAAACUCAAACUGUGUAAAAGGAUGAGAUGUCGUUUCUAAACUU